CACUGUGAGCGGCAAUGUGGCAGAGCUCUGCUGGGUUCUCGCAGCAGACAGAGAGCAAAUUAAGCGUGUGUGAUUUAGAUUUGGAAGGUGGAACCUUGUCCUUCGUAUCGCAGACACUCCAACCACACACUUGGGUGAGCACCAGCAGAGCCCGGCAUCCACAAAACCACACAGUGGGGAAUCCUAAUGACUUUGUGCGGUAGUAUCUCGAGACUUGAUUUGACAGUGAAAAGAAAAAUGCUGCGUCAAAGGAGUGCAGAGGAAUAUCAAAGGGGUUUGCCCAGGAACCUCCCAGUGGUGAAGAAGUCAGCAGCCAAACUGCUCAUUAACGGCAAGUCUUGGAACCAAUUCAUCCUCGUCCUGUGUGACCUUCACUGGCUCCGUGUCAAACACAGAAUCCGUCCAAAAAAUUCACCUACUGAAAUAGUAAUACUGACAAUGCACUCCAUCACCUCCCCCUCUCUCUCUCUCACCUCACUGACCUCCUGCUCUCCCACCAACCCACCCGCUCACGCAGGUCCUCUUCUGCUGAGAACCUCAUCGCCCCAAAAUUGAACCUCCACAGUUUUGGUGACAGAGCAUUUUUCGGGGUUUUAUGCAGGCUCUGGAACUCCCUCACCCCUCCAGUCUGAAAUUCAUAAUCCAUCAUCAUCUUCCUUUCACGUCUCAAAUCCCAGUUUUUCUCCCUGGCCUAUGAGUAAUCUGCACCUCCCUCCCCCACACGCAGAUACUCAUGCACUCUCUCACACCUAGACCCCCCUCCCCAUGGAAGUUUCUAUUUCAGCCUUUCUUUGCCCAGACUUUUUGUUUAUUUUGUUUAUUCUUAUGUACUUAUGCUACCCAAAUAUGUCAGUAUUUGUCUUUCCUUAUAUUAUGUUUGUAAUACUGUAAUGUGAUUACUAUUAUUAUUGUUGUUGUUGUUGUUAUUAUUGUUGUUAUUAUUAUUAUUAUUGUGAUUGCAGGUCCAGAGUCAAGAUUUGUAAGUCUGUCUGGCUUUAUUUUAUUUACUUGCUACACACAAACGAGGCAAUCAUCCCAGUGUAAGUGGCACAAACAUGUUAUUUGUUAUGGAGAACAUGGAACGAGCCAGGAAUGAGCCAGGAACAAGCUUCAAUCCUUCCCCCAAAAAUUGUAAUCCUGAAAUACAGCAUAAAGAUUUUCACAAAAUACCUGAAAUAUUAAUAUAAUUGUAUGAAAUAUUCUGACACCUAUUUGAUGGUAAGUCCUACUGAUCGGGUAGCUGCUGCUCUUAAAAUCCUCUUUUGAAUUGCCAGUGUUUGUUGCUCUCUUAUUCAGUAUUAUAUUGCAUGCUUUUGGAGAUGUCAUAUAUAGGGCCCAGACAAAUGUUCAAGCAGGUAAUCCUGUUGGCAGUAUUCAGCAAUGUUUGCCAGUCAGUACAGACUUGUAAAUAAUAAUACAAUUGGGGACUAAUUAUGAAGUAAUUAUCUGUGCAAAGAAAUUAAAUAAUGCAAAAGGAAGUCAAACAUGGACACACAAACAGCAUCAAGGCAGAUGUCAGAGUAAAACUGUAUUAUCAGUACAUUGUAUUCUAAAGGAUUAAAGGAUUCAAUUUAUUAUGCAUGUCUUGCCACUUAUCUUUAGACCACAGGAUCAAGAUUACAACAGACCAGCAUUUACAGACACAAAAACAUAGCAAAUGACUAAGAUGCAGGCAAGGGGAAAACAGCAGUGAAAAAUCUCUAAAAUUACAUGCAUUUUUAAAAAGGAGCAUGUGGUAAAUGCAGUAAAACUGUCUCAGCAGGAAAAUAAGAUAUACAGACCAUUCAAGGGAUAAAUUUGCUUGGGAAGUUUAUUUUACUUAUUGGUAUUUUUACCAAUAAGACUGCCUCCUGAGCCAUCCAAAAUCAGAUGGGAACUUGGUAUUUAGCUGUAGAGAACCAUUCUAACUGCAUUGGGUUUCAUUUAAGGUUUGUGGAGACAUACAUUACACCCAGCACCAGUGCAUUAGAGAUGCUUAGCAGAUUGUUGGACGACAUUAACAGUUUGGAGAGUUAGCUCCCUCUAGUUGUACAACAUGAAAAGAGCUUCACAGACCUCGUCCAGUGGUCAGAAAGCAUAAUUCACAAAACUAACGAUAAACUUUGAGCUGCCAAUGAAUGCAUAUCCACUAUUGGCAUAACUGGUUCACAGCCCGGACAGAACAAAAAAUUCCAUCAAGGUACAAAAAAUCUCACUGAAUAUUAAAGCCCCACUCCCUAGAAAAGGAAGAGAGUUUCACAGAUUCCUGAAUGAAAAUUAUGACAUUUCAUUUAUGAACUGUUGGAGGGGAGGUAGUUUACAGUGUUGCUGAUGAUGACAAUGAAUAUGUCACAGGAGGGAUUUCAGUGCUAUAUAUAGUACCAUAAAAAUUAUGGUAACCAUAGAGAAAAUGUGUUUUUUGUUAUUUUUAGCUGCUUCUGUAAUAUGUUAGAACAUAUACACAUGUAAAUACCAUGAAAUAAAAGUGAUUGCCUGUG